rnacentral:rRNA from 1 species
CAGCCGCCGCGGUAAUACCGGCGGCCCGAGUGGCGGCCACUAUUAUUGGGCUUAAAGCGUCCGUAGCCGGGUUGGUUAGUCUCCCGGGAAAUCUGGCCGCUUAACGGUCAGAAUUCCGGGAGAUACUGCCAGCCUAGGGACCGGGAGAGGCCGAGGGUAUUCCCAGAGUAGGGGUGAAAUCCUAUAAUCCCGGGAGGACCACCUGUGGCGAAGGCGCUCGGCUGGAACGGGUCCGACGGUGAGGGACGAAGGCCAGGGGAGCAAACCGGAUUAGAUACCCGGGUAGUCCUGGCUGUAAACGAUGCGGACUUUGUGUCGGACAAGCUAUGAGCUUGUCCGGUGCCGGAGGGAAACCGUUAAGUCCGCCGCCUGGGGAGUACGGCCGCAAGGCUGAAACUUAAAGGAAUUGGCGGG